AUUGAACGCUGGCGGCAGGCCUAACACAUGCAAGUCGAGCGGAUGAGAGGAGCUUGCUCUCUGAUUCAGCGGCGGACGGGUGAGUAAUGCCUAGGAAUCUGCCUGGUAGUGGGGGACAACGUUUCGAAAGGAACGCUAAUACCGCAUACGUCCUACGGGAAAAAGCAGGGGACCUUCGGGCCUUGCGCUAUCAGAUGAGCCUAGGUCGGAUUAGCUAGUAGGUGAGGUAAUGGCUCACCUAGGCGACGAUCCGUAACUGGUCUGAGAGGAUGAUCAGUCACACUGGAACUGAGACACGGUCCAGACUCCUACGGGAGGCAGCAGUGGGGAAUAUUGGACAAUGGGCGAAAGCCUGAUCCAGCCAUGCCGCGUGUGUGAAGAAGGUCUUCGGAUUGUAAAGCACUUUAAGUUGGGAGGAAGGGCAGUAAGUUAAUACCUUGCUGUUUUGACGUUACCAACAGAAUAAGCACCGGCUAACUUCGUGCCAGCAGCCGCAGUAACAC
rnacentral:rRNA from 1 species